UGCUAUGAUGUCAGGUAUCUCCUUGC
rnacentral:piRNA from 1 species